UUCAGAGCUUUCUUCCUGAAACAGCAUAAAGAUUUACCAACAAUGAAUCGGCAUCUUGCAUUUACCAGUUACGAAGCUGAAUAAGAUCGGGUUUUGAAAUGCAGCAAUUAAACAUGAACAUAUAGACCAAGAAAAUGAGCCACUUCAUUACUGUGACGAAAUUCACUGAGGUACAAGAACUCUUCAAUUUGAAUUUGAACAACACACUACCUAAACAGCACAAAAAAUCUCUCUAAUCAACUCAAUAAUAGGAACAACAAAACAGAAGCCGGUGAAAUCUAUUACAACACUCUCUAAAAGGCAGCGCGCAAACUGCAAGCAAAACCUGCUUGUCAAAUGUCAAGAGAGUC
rnacentral:lncRNA from 1 species